UACGAAGGGUGCAAGCGUUAAUCGGAAUUACUGGGCGUAAAGGGUGCGUAGGCGGUUCGUUAAGUCUGUCGUGAAAUCCCCGAGCUCAACUUGGGAAUUGCAAUGGAUACUGGCAGGCUGGAGUAUGGUAGAGGAAGGUGGAAUUCCCGGUGUAGCAGUGAAAUGCGUAGAGAUCGGGAGGAACACCAGUGGCGAAGGCGGCCUUCUGGACCAAUACUGACGCUCAUGCACGAAAGCGUGGGGAGCAAACAGG
rnacentral:rRNA from 1 species